ACGUACCUUAGGAUCACACUAUAAGUGAUUGUCACUAUUUUAUUUUCCUAUUAGGAUCUGGCUGAUUAGCUGCCUGCCUACACCAAGUUUCUCCAUUGAAGAGACAUUACUGCAAAUGGGAAAGAAGAGCAUAGGAGAGAAUAUACAUAUGCCACAGAGAAUCCAGAUAGCCCAUCUUCGGUCAGUUCGCUAUAUUUGCACGUCAAGGAGUACAGCAUCAGGAAGCAUAGGCAUGGAUACUAAGGACCUCUUCUGUACACCAAGGCCCGUCCAAAGGACAGUGUGUCACUGUGAGCUGGAAAUUCAUCUGUCUCCUUCAUUAUUUGUCUUACCUACUUUAUGCUUUAUCUGUAAGUUGAGGCUGUUUAUGGCCUCAUCCUCAACUAUGUUGUCCCUCAUUACUCCCAGUUAAUGGAGAGUAAGCUUUGUAUCAUGACUUCCUAACGAAAACUGAAAUCACAAAACAUCACAUGAAUAAAGUGACAAAUGGAUUAG
rnacentral:lncRNA from 1 species